rnacentral:rRNA from 1 species
UACGAAGGGGGCUAGCGUUGCUCGGAAUCACUGGGCGUAAAGCGCACGUAGGCGGAUCUUUAAGUCAGGGGUGAAAUCCUGGAGCUCAACUCCAGAACUGCCUUUGAUACUGGGGAUCUCGAGUCCGGGAGAGGUGAGUGGAAUUCCUAGUGUAGAGGUGAAAUUCGUAGAUAUUAGGAAGAACACCGGUGGCGAAGGCGGAUCUCUGGGCCUGUCCUGACGCUGAGGCGCGAAAGCUAGGGGAGCGAACAGG